GAUGAACGCUGGCUACAGGCUUAACACAUGCAAGUCGAGGGGAAACGACGGGGAAGCUUGCUUCUCCGGGCGUCGACCGGCGCACGGGUGAGUAACGCGUAUCCAACCUGCCUCUCACUGAGGGCUAACCCGUCGAAAGUCUGCCUAAUACCUCUUGGCAUCGUCUCCGGGCAUCCAACGACGAUUAAAGAUUUCAUCGGUCAGGGAUGGGGUUGCCUCUGCUUAGCUUGUUGGCGGGGUAACAGCCCACCAAGGCUACGAUCAGAAGGGGUUCUGAGAGGCAGGUCCCCCAGAUCGGAGCUGAGACACGGUCCAAACUCCUACGGGAGGCAGCAGUGAGGAAUAUUAGUCGAUGGACGGGGACCUGAACCAGCCAAGUAGCGUACAGGGGGACGGCGCUAUGAGUUGUAAGCUACUUUUAUACGGGGAAAGAGUGAGGGACGUGUCCUUCAUUGCAGGUACCGAAUGAAUAAGGACCGGCUAAUUACGUG
rnacentral:rRNA from 1 species